CCAAUAACGUGCCAGGAGCCGGGGGAAUACUUAGGGAGCAAGCGGUGUCCGGAGUUACUGGGCGUAAAGGGCGCGUAGGCGGGCUGCUAAGCGUGAAGUGAAAGCUCCAGGGCUCAACCCGGAAACAGCUUUGCGAACUGGCAGACUCGAGGAAGGCAGAGGUGAAUGGAAUUCCUGGUGUAGCGGUGACAUGCAUUGAUAUCAGGAGGAACACCCGAGGCGAAGGCGGUUCACUGGGCCUUAUCUGACGCUGAGGCGCGAAAGCGUGGGUAGCAAACAGGAUUAGAUACCCGGGUAGUC
rnacentral:rRNA from 1 species